UACGGGGGGGGCAAGCGUUGUUCGGAAUUACUGGGCGUAAAGGGCUCGUAGGCGGCCAACUAAGUCGGACGUGAAAUCCCUCGGCUUAACCGGGGAACUGCGUCCGAUACUGGAUGGCUUGAGUUCGGGAGAGGGAUGCGGAAUUCCAGGUGUAGCGGUGAAAUGCGUAGAUAUCUGGAGGAACACCGGUGGCGAAGGCGGCAUCCUGGACCGGCAUUGACGCUGAAGCGCGAAAGCUAGGGGAGCAAACGGG
rnacentral:rRNA from 1 species